GACUCUCGGCAACGAAUGUCUCGGCUCUCGCAUCGAUGAAGAACGUAGCGAAAUGCGAUACUUGGUGUGAAUUGCAAAAUCCCGUGAACCAUCGAGUCUUUGAACGCAAGUUACGCCCCAAGCCAUUAGGCCGAGGGCACGUCUGCCUGGGUGUCA
rnacentral:rRNA from 1 species